CCCAGACUCCUACGGGAGGCAGCAGUGGGGGAUAUUGCACAAUGGGGGGAACCCUGAUGCAGCGACGCCGCGUGGGUGAAGGAGUAUUUCGGUAUGUAAAGCCCUAUCGGCAGGGAAGAAAUUGGACGGUACCUGACUAAGAAGCCCCGGCUAACUACGUGCCAGCAGCCGCGGUAAUACGUAGGUGGCAAGCGUUAUCCGGAUUUACUGGGUGUAAAGGGCGUGUAGGCGGGACUGCAAGUCAGAUGUGAAAACCACGGGCUCAACCUGUGGCCUGCAUUUGAAACUGUAGUUCUUGAGUACUGGAGAGGCAGACGGAAUUCCUAGUGUAGCGGUGAAAUGCGUAGAUAUUAGGAGGAACACCAGUGGCGAAGGCGGAUGACUGGACGACAACUGACGGUGAGGCGCGAAAGCGUGGGGAGCAAACAGGAUUAGAUACCCUAGUA
rnacentral:rRNA from 1 species